AUGAUCUCCUUCAUUGUUGGCUUCUUCUCAUCUCUUAUUGCAAUCAAGUAGCUCCUUCCUACCCACCCAAUCCAUCCAGCAAUGUACAAGAAGAGGAUCCCAGGAGUGAUGAACUCACCCCAAUGCCUCUGGUCUCCACUCACUAUCAGGUGUGGCAGUCCAUCCGAUCCACACAAUAGUCCCUGUUUCGCGUAGUUGUCAAAUCUGCAAUGACAAUAGUUGAGUGAAUUUGUGUAAGUGAAAUAAAACUAGUUAUGUGACUUCUCCGUUACAAAAUAAAGUUGAGUGACUUUAUCAAGAUAAUUUCCGUUAGUUGAGUAAUUUCAAAGGAGUUUUGUCCUUCACUGGUGAGGGACAGCGAGACAGUUGUGCUUAUAUACAGAAGCACUUCUUCUAGCUCUUAAAGAAUUGAGAAGAGAGUCUUCCCGGCGCCAUCGUUGUCCCUCAGCUGGCUUGGGCUUGAAUUUGAAUUUAUGAUGUGAUUGACUGAUAUAUUUUUGGAUCAAAUUUAUUUAGUUAAUAUUUAUAUUUCAGUAACAUUUUUGUAAUUAAUUCCCAUGUUAUUGUUUUGUCGUAGCCAUAUUUUUCGUAAACAACCAUUUUCGCAAAGAACCACCAGGAAGAGUUGCAUCUCUUCGUUUGAGACUAGACUUCUGCUUAUAUAUAUCUGUCCUUUAAUUCAGAUUUUUACUUACGAUUUUUUUUUUAAAUAUUUCUCGCAUAUUACUUUCUGCUCUGCGAAGUAAAUUUGAAGUGUGAUUCAACUGUUCUUAAUGUUCGUUGAACACCGGUGUUUGAAGUAUCUUUGCACAAGUGACAGUAAUCUGCCCUAUCUUGGGAGGAAAUAAUCUUAUACCUCAGGUAUUAGGAACACUAUGAAUUUCAGGAGGCUCGAAUUAGUUUCAGCUUUCAUCUCAUGUAUAUUUUGUCAAGUCUUAGUUUCCAGGAUUUAUUUGGUUACUAACAGUAUUUGUGUUACUAAACAAAAUUCGAAUGAUCAUAUGCGAAAUUAACUCUAUGAUAAGGAAUUACAUAGAUGGAUUAAAUAAAAAAUGAUUACUAGGGGAAAAUGGAAGGUGAGACAAACCUGCGCUUAGUUUUCUCAAUAGUAGCAUUAAUAGCAAGUGCAGGAGCACUAUCAGGUGCAUAUAGCUUCAAAGAAUUCUCAAGCUUCUUGAUCUGUUGCUUCUCCCUCUUAGCAAACUGCUUUGACUCCUUGCAAGGUGUGAGUCCAGAGAUGUCAGCAGAAGCUGGAAGCACUGGUGCUGACAACAGAAUUGAAGACAAAGCAAGUGCUGCUGAGAAUACCUUUAAUGAGGAAGAUGUUUCAUCUGUUUUAGUAGAAGCAGGAGUUUGGUUUGAAGAGCAGACUAUUGUUGAAGUUCUUGGUUUUGUGGUAAACUGAGAACUAAACUUAGAUGAUGUUGAAAUGGGUUUUGAAAGGUUUGCAGGAAUUGUGAGAGACAUGGUGUUUUCUCCUCUCUCUUUUUAUGGUAUUAUUUUCAAGAAAAAAAGAGAGGAAGGAGGAGUGGAUUGGAGUGUGGAGAGUGAAAGGAUGUUUUUUUAGGAUAUUUGGAAGAAAGGAUUGGUAUUGAAGAGAGAGGAUAAAGGAGUUGAAGGGGAGCUUAGGUGGAGGGAUUUGAUUGGCUAAUUGAGUUGGAUUUUGUGAGAUUGGUGGAUUUUGCUGAAACUUUAUCUAUCUGUGAAAGAGCAAGAACCAGGGAUGUAACAGAUACAGAUACGCCUCCUUCGGAGCCAUAUUAUCCCUUGGAAUAGCUAGUAAGUUGCUGCCCACGUAAUCAGGAGGUCAUAAGUUCAAGUUUUGAAAACAGUUUCUAAUAAAAAUACAAGGUACGACUGCAUACGAUACACCCUUGUGGUGGGGCCCUUCCCUGGAUACCGCGCAUAGUGGUAAUUUUAGUACACUGGACUGUCCUUUAUUGGCAAAAUGGCUAAAUGGAUCCUUGUACUAUGUUCGUUUUGUAAUGUGAACACUUCUACUUACAUGUUUGUCAUCUGAAUCGUUGAAUUAAUUAAAAAGUAAUAUUUUAAGCCCUUUAUCGGUCUACUCCUUUGAACGUGUUGCACAAUCACGAACAUGUCAUCAAAUAUUUGAAAAUAAUUUUCACAUAUGAAAUAACGUGUCCAAGGUAUAAAUAGAAAAGUAAGUCCGAAAAAUUAAGUCAUUUUAGACCCUUCUUCUUCGUCUCUUUCAUCCAAAGUUUAAAAUUUCCCCUAUUUUAACUUAAUUUAGGUAGAUUGUUGUUGGUGGUUGUUGCAAUCCGUGUAAGUAUUUAAUAUUUUGUGGUAACUGUAGUAUUUCGUAGUUUAUUUCAGGCUCUUUUGUCGAUGUAAUGAAGUCCGUUUUAGUAAUUUUAGGAUUUUCGCCAUUAUGAACUUUUUUUUCAAUUUUUUGGGUGGUUUUGCUCUAUUUUAUAUCUAGUGUUGUUGUAGGUAGUAUGUGUAGUGGUGAUAUGCCUUCAAUGACAUAUUUUGAAAUUUUGAUCAAAAUUUAGAGUUUUUUCGUAAAAUGGUAAUUGGGUUCGAAAAUUUUUGAGCUUUUAAUUUUUUUUUUGUUGUCUAAUGCUCCUAUUAUACCUAUAUAUUACAGUUUUGUGCCUUCAAUGGUGUAUUUUAUUAUUUCGAUUACAUUUUAAAUUUUUUUUGGUAAAUUUAAAAUUAGGUUCGAAAAUUUUGGGGCUUGUGAAUUUUUUGUUGUUUAAUGCUCCAAUUAGAUGUGUGUAUAACAGUUUUGUACCUUCAAUAGCAUGUUUUGUUAUUUCGAUUACAUUUUAAAGUUUUUUUUUUUUGAUAAAAUCAGAAUUGGGUUUCUUAUUCCUUUAUUUUUUCUUUAAAAAUUAGGUCUUUAUGGAUAAUUAACUAAUUAUAUAUAUUAUCUUGUCAUUGUACAGAUUUUCUAAGUAAAUGGACACAAUUGUAACAAUUCAAUUCACCUAUAGGGGGGUCUUUUUGUCAGACCCUGAUCUAAGGUAUGCAAAUGAAGUUUGUAUUCUUGAAAAAAUUAGAGUAGAUGUAGAUGAGCUUCAUAUUAUGUUAUUUCAUAACUUAGCAAUAGAUUUAGAUAUGGAAAAAAAUAAAACUUUUUGAUGUAGAGUAAAUAAAAAGGGUUAUUAUUAUAUGUUAGAUAGUGAUGCUGAUGUUUUAAGAUUUAUCAAUAGUUUAAAAGUUGGAGAUUUUGUUAAUAUAUAUGUUGUUCACCAUAUUAGUGAACUUAUAGUUGUUAAUGAAGAUGUGACAGCUACUCCAUCAUUAUUACUACUUAGCAAUAGUAAUGUGGCAGCCCCUUUUAAAACUGAUAAGGUUGUGUGUCUUCAUCUCAUCCGUUGAAUAUAAAUGAAGAUGAGUAUAUAAAUGAAAAUCAGCCUCCUAAGGCAGACAAAGGAAAAGCUAAGGUUUCUUUAGAAGACUUAGGGGAAAGUCAAGUUAAUGAUUUCUCCACAUACCACCUUCAAACAUCUGAUUCUGAAUUAAAUUUUCAGACCACUGAUUCUGAUGUUGAUUCACUUUAUGAUAUUAAUGAAAAUAUUGAAGAGGAGUGAUUUUGACAAAGAGUUGCUUUAAGUUAGGAAGUCUAACAUUGAAAAACAAGCAAAAGAAAAGGCUGAUAGGGUAAAUCUAGAUGAGAUACCAUCUGAACUAGUAGGUAUAAAUGCUGGUUUUGAGGAAAUUUGUAAGAACAAGGGGGUUAGAUAUGAAAGUAAACUGGGUAGGGAUGACCCUUAUUUUGGUAGUUUAAAUUCGAAUAGUAACAUUAGUGAAGAGGAAGGAGAUCAUGUUGAUGAUGAUGAACUGGUAGAUCCACUACCUAGAACUUCAUCUAGCAAGAUCUACUUUGAUGAAACUGCAAAGAAGAUAUAUUUUUAGUUGUACAUGAUUUUUUGAAUGCUGUUGAAUUUAGAGAGGUACUGCAGACUUUAUUCAAAAAAAUGUGAACCUUAAAUUAAAACCUAAUAAAAAGAAAAGAGUAAAGGCAAAGUGUAAGCAUAAGGAUUGUUCUUGGGUUAUUCUUGAAAGUGUUGAUAACACAAAAAAUUUUAGUGUGAAAACAUACUUUCUUAUCCACAAAUGUUCUAAAAAGACAAAAAAUGAGAUGUGAGUGAUUCAUCAAUAAAAUUGCAUCAGAUUCAAACACUUUUAAGAAAGGACUAUGGAUUGUAUGUUAGUAAAACAACCCGUAGAAAAUCAAAAAUUAAAAUUAUGAAUGAAUAUUUUGAUGAUUUUGUUGAAGAGUUUGCUAGGUUGUAUGACUAUGCUGAAUAGUUAGGAUCACCAAUCCUGAUACCACUGUAUCUACUAGAACAUCCAAGAAUUCAAUUCCAAGGUGGUUAUAGGCAUUUAUAUUUGUCUUGGGGCCUUAAAAAGUGGAUGAAAAGAGGGUUCUAGAAGAAUAAUUGAUUUAGAUGGUGCCUUUCUCGAGGGUGUAUAUAAAGGUAUCUUGUUGUCUUGUAUUUUCAAAGAUAAAAAUAAUCACAUGCAUCCUGUAGCAUGGGCAGUGGUUGAUAAAGAAACCAAGGACAUAUGGUCUUGAUUUCUUAGGUACAUCAACCAUAAUUUGAAACUUCGAGAAAAUGGGGGUAAAGGCUUGACAUUAAUAUCUGAUAUGCAGAAGGUAUGAAGUGUCAUAUUUUUUUUAGUUAUUUUUUCAAUUUGCUUAGUGAUGUCAUGAAUGUUUAACUACUGUUUUACAUGUUUUGAUAGGGUCUUCAUUUGGCACUUACUAAGCUACUGUCAAAUGCUGAGCAUAGAUGUGCUAGACAUAUAUGGGCAGACUGAAAGCAGGUUUGGAGAGGUGAAAAAAGAAGGAAAAAAUUCUAGCAGGUUGCAAGGGCUCGAUUUAAAGUGUAUUUACAACAAAAAACUUAAUAAAAUGAGUGAGUUAGAUGUUGAAAUUGUGAAAUACUUGCUCAAAUACAACAAAGAGGCAUGGUGUAGGAUUUUUUUUUAAAGAAUAUAGCAGGUGUGAUGUGGUUGAGAACAACAUGUAUGAAACUUUCAAUAGUUAAAUUUUAGCUGCUAGGUUCAAAACAAUUAUCACUAUGUUGGAGAAAAUAAAAUGCAAAGUCAUGGAAAGAAUGAAUCAAAUGAGAAAUUUUUAGAAAAAUGAAUCAGUGAUGUAUCACCAAUGGAUAUGAAAGUUCUUGUAGAGAAUAAUAUGCAAUCAAGUGUGAGGUAAGGUUUAAUGGUGAUAUAGGCUUUGAGAUUGGUGAUCCACCAUAAACACAUGUUGUUAAUGUGAAGAGGAAGGAAUGUAGUUGUAGGUCAUGGCAACUAAAGAAAAUUCCUUGUGCACAUGCAAUUGUUUCAAUGCAUUACAAGGGAUAGAAUGUGGAGUCAUUUGAUAAGCACUGGUAUCAAUGAAAAACAUACUUGAAGGCAUAUGAUAAGUAUAUUCAACCAAUGACAAAUAUAAAGAUGUAGCUAAGAAGCACAAGACCACUAAUUGAGUCACCUGAGAUUACUGCCAUGCCACGAAGGUCAAGUAAAAAUAGAAAGAAAGCUAAGGAUGAGUCUAUUAAGAAAAAGUUUAGGAAGGCUACAAAAAAAGAAAGAAAAAUGACAUGUUUUGUGUGCAAGUCUAUUGGAGACAACAAGAAAGGAUGUCCAAUUUUGGUAACCUAAAACUUUUCUUAUUGAUGAAUUUUACUCUUUUUGAAUGUGUUUUUGAUCUUUAAAUAUUUUUUUGUAGAAAAAAGAUUUCAGUAGUAGCUGUGGCAGUCAACCAAGUGUGCAAGCUGGUGCUAGUACUGUUGCUGCUGAGAGACCUGCAAAUGCUUCAGCAGCUGAAGACAUGCCUGCAAAUGCUAAACCAAGAAACAGAAGGCCUGCAGGAAGGCCAACAAAUGCUCACCGUGUACCAAGAGCUGCAGAAAGGCCUGCAAAUGUUGCAUCAGUUGGUGGUGUGAGGCCUGCAAGUGCCUUAACAACUGAUAUAAGGCCUGCAACUGUUGUGAUUCCUGCAACCACUUCACCAGUAGAUGAUAAUACUACACAAUCUACAACUCAGUAGUCUACUAGUGGUGUUGGUGUCCAAAAGAGGAGGACUAGUACAACUUUGAGAGGUGGUGCAAAUCUUGCAUAUAAAAGAUCAAGGCAAAACAAAAUUAAUUUUGUUGUGCUGUUUGGACUAAGUGGCAACGUAGUGGAGAGGGUAAAUUUUCUAUCAUGUAAUUUUCAUUUAACUGGUAUUAAUUAGUGUAUCUAUAACUGAUUUUUUUUAUUUUUACAGUUUGAAAAUACUGAUAGAGUGUUACAUAAUCCAACACUUAUUAGUUCAGUUCCAAUCAAUAUUGACUUGGGUUUCAAACCAAAUAGACUGAGGCGGAAAGGUGGAGCUGCAGUAACUCAAAGACAACUACAAGAACAGAGUUACAACAGAUAAAACACAAAAUCAUCUACAACCACUCAAGCCACAUCAAGCACUCAAGCCAGCAAGAAUCAGGCCACAACAAGCACUCAAGGAACACAUUAGUGUAAUUCUCUUUUUGUAUUGAUCCCAAGUGUUGUUAAGAUAAUUUUUUAAGACUUCUGAUGCAUUUCUCAUUAAAGAUGUUGUUAAGACAAGUUUUUUCAUUUCAACUCUUGCUAACACAUUAUAUAUUGAAGAUUUCUAAGUUGGCAAAAUGGUGUUUGUCAUUAAAUUUGAAUUUCAUUUUCAUUGUACAUUGCAACUACAAAAAUUAAGUCAUCUUAAAUAUAAUAGAUAGAAAUCAGAUGACAACAAUAAUAAUAGUGAUAUCAAUGCUAGUGCUUGAUCUUUCAUGUCUUUCAUACCUUUCAUAUCUUUCCAGUCCUUCUUGUCUUCGUUGCCUUCUAUGUCUGCCUUUAUAUUAUUUAUUUUCAUCAGCACAUCAAAAGAAUCCACAAUCAUUAGCAACUUCAUAUUUUUGACAGCUCCAAAAUAUUUUUUCGGGGUUGAUUGGUAUUCUUGAAUCUUAAUUUCAGCGUAAAGCCCACAAUAACAUACCCGAACUGUCAUGGUGUUGUGAAAAAUUACAUAAGAUAUUAACAUUCCAAUAUUACAAACAGAACAGGAAAAAAAAUUAAGAAACAAGAACUUAGAGAGAGAAAAAUGGAGAAGAAGGGAGAAAAAAAAGCUCAAAUUGCUUCAAUAAUGAUGUUGGAAGCAUAUGAGGAAGAAGUAGCAUUUAUAAGGACUUUAUGACUGUUGGGGGACUUUUUUCGAUGGCUUACGUGCGCUUGAAGGCUAAACUAUUUGCUCCUAUGUGAUUCCAGCCACAUUGGAUGCCACAUCAAAAAAAAGUAUUUAAAAUGUUCAUUUUUAGUGGGUUCAAGGAUUCAGAUGAUAAACAUGUAAGUAGAAGUGUCUACAUUACAAAACAGACAUAGUACAAGGGUCCAUUGAAUUAUUUUGCCUUUUAUAUUUCAAUCUUUCUUUCUCACUUAUAUUUUUAGCUCUUAUCUUAAGGGGUGUUUAGCCAUAAAAGUUUUAAUAUUUUUAGAAAGAUCAUGUAAGAGUAAAAAAUAAUAUUUAAAAAUUAAAAUUGUGUUUUGAUCAUAAAUAUAAAUUGGAGGCGUUUUUGAAUUACUUUUCAAAUUUCAAUUUUUUGAAAAGUAUUAUCACAAGAUCAUAUACAAAAAAAUUGAUUUUCACUAAGAGAGUUAAAAAAAUUGUAUUGCUUGAGAUUUGAAUUUAGAAUUUAAAGUGAAUUUUGAAUUUUCUAAACUAUUGAUCCUACUCUAAUUUAUUGUUUAGGGUAUUGAAAAAAAAAAACUAUAUAGCUAGACAUUAAUUCUGCUAAUAUAUGCAGUAACGAGAUGAGCCUCGCCAUAGUACCAAAUUUAUAUGAAUUUAUUUAUGAUUAAUUAGGAGUUGUUAGAUUAAAAAAGUGAACAAAAAUGAAAGAGUUGAAAAAAAAAAGAGAAAUAUGAAAAAAAGAGUGGCUAGCCAAGAUUUUGUAGUUAUAUAGUUUUCUUUAAACAGUCUAUAGCAUCAAUGAUUUAGGAAAUUUAAAAUUCACUUUAAAGUUCUAUAUUUAAUCUCAAGUAUUUUUUUUUUUUUGAUUAUGAGUAGCAUCAAUGAUUUAGGAAAUUUAAAAUUCACUUUAAAGUUCUAUAUUUAAUCUCAAGUAUAUUUUUUUUUUGAACUCUUUUAGGAGUCGUUUGGUACACUGAAUGUGAUAAAUAAGAAUAUCUAAGGUGGGAUAUUUCAUAAGAUUAUUUUAUUCAUCUCUCUCCGUGGGACAGUAAUCUCAUUAUCUUAAUAUAAAUGGUGGAAUAAAAUAAUUUUGAAAUUAAGUAAUACCUUAUAUCAAAUAUGGGAUAAAGUUAAUUCUAAAUUUUAUCCCAAAAUUAUUUUUUAUCCCUUCUACCAAACGAUUCCUUAGUGAAAAUCCACAAUCUUUUCAUAUCUGGGUUUGUGAAAAUAUUUCAGAUAAAUUAAAAUUUAAAAAAUAGCAAAAAUUAUUUCUAAUCUAAGUUAUUCCUAAAAACUCAAAAACACUUGCAAUUCGUAUUUAUGAUCAGACAUAACUUUAAUUUUUAAAUAAUAUUUUUUACUUUUAAAUAAUUUUUAAAAAAUAUUUACACUUUUCAUGACUAAACACUCCUUAAAAUAAAAACUAAAAUUUGAGUGGGGAAGAUAGAAAUAUAAAAUAAGGAGGCAAUAUUCAAAAAAAAAAAAAACAGGAAACAGAAGGAAAUGUGAGGAAAUAUUGGGAGAGGAACAUUUGCUAAUACAAUGGACCCCACAAGAACAUAUGUCAAAAGCAAAAAGACCCUUACAUAACUAUUGUUGGGUGAGCCUCACCCAUUUUAUAAUUUUCCAUCACCGAAACUACAGAUCAUAUGCUACUGUCAUUUGCACUUUUUCCCUUGAAAUAAAUAAUAUUUUAUAAGUUUAUAAUCAUUUUAUAAUAAUAUUUCAUGAGUUAUGGUCCUCUCCUAUAAGGUAGUUGUCCCAGUAGAUAUAAUUUCAAUUGCGAAAACUCAAAAUUCGAUGGGCGAAUUGCAAUUAAAUGACCUAAUUUGUCAUGUCAUUUGAGGACAAAAUGUUUGCAUGGAUUGUUCUUGUUUUAAAGUGGUUUUCAAUUUUUGCAAUCAAAAUAAUAUAGUUGAAUUUGUUUAAGUGUUUUAAGGGCACGCGAGUUAGAUUGAUUAUAAAAAUGAAAUAACAAUGAAAUGAAUCACAGCAACAAGAUGUAAUGAAUACAAAGCAAGAAAAUAAUUAAAUUAGAUCCUAAAAUUGGGCCUAGGUGGCUUUGGUAUUCUCUGUCCGAAAGCUGAUGAAUUGAGAAACUGAGAGCCUUUUCUUAAGAAGAGAAAGUAUGUAUGAACAAGUGUGUCUUGUAAAAACUUUCAGAGCCUCGAAUGUUUGAUUCCUAAGUGUGUCACUGUCUUCCAGUUGAGCAGUAGCACUUUGGUUGUCGGGUUGGAAAGAUUAUCUUAUCAUCAUUACUAGUUACUGUUUCUGUAUCAAGAUUCUACCUUUCUGAAGUUAGACAGGCCAUGUUAGUAAGGCCGGUACCAAUGUCGAGUAUUAUAGGAUCCCUCCAAAAUUGGACAUCACUCCGAGCUCGGUCUUUUGGAAGGGUUCUUCUGGUGCUCCCCAAUAGUCCCUUCAUAGUCAGACGCAUGUAUCACAUCUUUCAUGUCUUUUUUUUUUGCAACAAAUGUGAAUAUUAACAUCAACAAAACAGUCAUAUAAAAAUAAUUUUUUUUUAAUUUGAGUCUCAUAUGUCAUGUAAUAGUUGUAUGAGGUCUUUAAUAUUUGACGAAAUACAUAUACAGGCCCUUGAAAUAUUUCACUUUUCCCGUUUAGACACCUAAAUUAAGAAAGGUACCUAUUGAACCCUUUACUCCUUCAGAAAUGGUUUCAAUUGAGCCCAAUUCUCCGAUGUGGCAGUUUGCGUGUACUCACAUCUGGGAGGCGCGUGAAAUGUCAUGGAACCAGCUUAUGUGGCACCCAACGGAUCUUUUAUCCUCUUUUUAUACCCAAUUUCUUAAAAAAAAAAAACCCUAAUUCCCACUUUCUUCCUCUUUUUAUACUCAAUUCUUAAUAUCCACCAUUUUUGUCUCCUAAAUUCUCCUUCUCCUCUUAAAUUUCUUUUCAGCCUUUUCUCUUGCUUCGCUUAAACUCUCCUACUCUUAUUAAUUUCUUCUUCUUACUCGUUUUUAGUAGUAAUAUCCAAUUCAUCUUUUUCAUUGUCUUCAUCUUCUUUAAUUCCAAAAGGAGUAUGUUUAUGUGGGGUGAAAGCUGAAAUUAAGACCUCGUGGACACAACUCAACACUAGUGGGAGAUUCUUUUACUGCAAAACUUCAAAGGUAUUCAUCUUUUGCUGCUUCAUUGGACGAAAUGCAAUUACUUCGAUUAGUGGAUGCAAUUUUUUAAUUUAAUUUUUUCUUUAAACCUGUAGGCGAGAGGUGGAUGCAAUUACUUUGAUUGGUAUGAUGAUGAAAUGCCCCCUCAAGCAAAGAGGGUGAUGUGGGGUUUAUUAAAAAAAUUCAAAUCAUUUGAAGAAGAGAGGAAUCGAUCAAGAAAAUUUAAAGUGAUAUGCGUUGGGGCGAUUGUGAUUUUGGCUACAUGGAAUUUCUUCAAGAAAUGUUCUUAGAUUUUGACAAAUAUUGGCUUAGGUUUCUUAUAUAUAGGACUGUUUUGAUUUGGAUAAUUCUGAAAUAUAUUAGUUGUAUUGGGACUGUUUUGCUUUGGCUUUCUUGUUGUAGUGGGAUUGUUGUGUAUGAAACAAUUAAGAAGGAAUGAAGAUAAGUUGUGAAAUGUUACUCUCUUACUAUGUUUUGAUUUUUCUUUACUUUUGUAAUUGGUUUAGUUAGAUUAUUGUACUCUAUUUUUUUAGAGUUCAAAUAAUUCAUUUAAAUGAUUCAAAGCUGUCAAAUGUUUAACACAAAAGGAACUACCAUUCAAUAAUUAUAUAAAGCACAAGUGCAACUGAUCGACAUUUUAAACACAAUAAUCUACCAUUCAACUGCUCAAAAUGAGCUCCAACCAUACAUCAAGUGUUCAUCCAAAACUAAUCUAAACAAACCACAAAAAAUAGUUCAGAAUCUUUAAAAAUCCCAACAAAAUACCAAAGUAGCCAUACAACUAAUAACCAAACUAUACAUUGUGCUAAAAACACAAUUAAUUCAACAACUUCAGAUUCCUCCUGGUGCACUAGAACUUUCAAGUUGGCUUCUUUUUUUACUGACUCAUACUCUGCAAUUGAGAAGUUGUGACGACAUUCUUUUCCUUCCACUUCAUUCCUCGAGGCUUAUAACCAAUAUCAAUAUUUGUUUGAGUUACAUCUUUGUAAACACCCAGAGUGACAACUGUUUCACUUCUAGUUCCAGGUUGUAUAAAAUGAAGUAAAAUUAGAUUUGUCAAAAGAUAAUUAAAAAUUACAUGAAUUGAAGUUGUAAUUCACACUUACAUUUAAUGUUUUACUGCAACUCAUUUGAUCAGUGUAGAUACCAAAUCCUACUGUCUUAGACCUCUUUUGUCCUACUGAUGAUGUUGAUGCUCCAAUGGUCAUUUUUUCCUUAAGUUGCUGAUCAGAUACACUUUCUUUUCCUCUACUUCUGCCAGUGCCUCUUCCAGAUCCUUUGCCUUUGCCAGCUCUCCUACCUUUGUCAGUAUCUCUACCUCUACCUCUACCUCUACCUCUUCCAGCUGGCUGCACUCUUAUAACUGCUGAGGUAUCAACACACAUAGAACUGCUGAAGCUUGGUUGCUGGCUGAAGCUUGGUGGCCUGCUAGAGCUUGGUGGCCUGCUAGAUCUUGGUGGCUAGAUGAAGCUUGGUGGUUAGCUAAAGAUUGGUGGCCUGCUAAAGCUUGGUGUCUUGCUAGAGCUUGGUGGCUGUCUGAAGCUUGGUGGCUGCUAGAGCUUGGUGGCAUGCUAGAGCUUGGUGGUUGGGUAGAGCUUGGUGGCCUGCUAGAGCUUGGUGUCCUACUAGAUCUUGGUGGUUGACUGAAGCUUGGUGGCCUGCUAGAGCUUAGUGGCUGGCUAAAGCUUGGUGGCCUGCUAGAACUUGCUGCGUGGCUAGAGCUUCCAGGUUGUCCCAUUCCAUCUUAACAAUAAAGGAUAUUAAAUAUAUAUUAUAAAUAUCAGAAUUUAAUUAUUGAAUUAAAAGAUAUGAGUGCAUUACCUGAGCUUUACAGAGAGUUCUGCUAUGACCAAUUUGAUGACAUUUGGAGCAAGAAAUUUUCAGUCCUUUCCAGGAUAGCUUCCCAUAUUUCUUCUUAGGCUCAUUCUUCCUUUUUUUCUAUUCUUUCCUGGUCUGCUAGGCAUUCGUCUAGGCUCAUGAGGAUCAAUCACUACACCACUUGUGUUAGGCUACAUUUCCAUAUUAGAUAUUGGCUGAAGAAAGUAGUCAUAAGCCUUCAAGAAUGUAUCUUUCUUAUACCACUCUUCCACAUAAAAUUCAGGCUCUAUACCUUUAUGCUGAUAAGCCAAUACAGCAUGUUGACAUAGUAUGCCUCUCAAUUUCCAGCUUCUGCAAGUGCAAGUCCUUGUCCUAAUAUUAACUAUAUGCCUAUAAGGACCAUCUAAAAUUCCAUACCCAAUCUGUCCAUUGAACCUCACUGUGCAAUUUCUAGCCAUAUCUUUAUUUUCUUCAAGUACUAGCAAAGCCAUAAGAGAGAUGUCUGAAAUGCAGGUAUUAACAAACUUCCUCAUUUCAACAUUUCUAUCCAUUAUCUUAUGUCUAAUCUCCUCUAACAUACAGAUUAUAGAUUUAUGUCUAACAGCUAAAAUUCAUGAAUUAAAAGUCUCACACAUAUUAUUCUCAACAAUGUCACAUUUAGAAUACUCCCUAAAAUAUGCCCUGCACCAUGAUUUUUUUCAUAAUGUAAUAAGUCCUCACAAAUAUCCUUACCAAGUUGACUGAGUUUGCCCAUCUCAUCCAAAAACUUCACUUCAAAACUGGAUUUAGCACACCUCUAAAAUUAUUUUCUUCUUUCUUCUCCUCUCCAGAUCUGAUGUCAAUUGGACCAGAUGUAUCUUGCACACCACCUCAUUUCACAAUCUGGUAACAACUCAAGUAUAGUAGGUACAAGACCUUACAUCAGUAUAAAUACAAAAUAAAAACACAAAAUAUAUGAACAUGGAAUGUAUAGUAAAUAAAUAGAAGACAUCAAAAUUAAAUUUUAAAAAGUAGACUAACCUUUUGCAUAUCUGACAUGACAGACAGAUCAUGUUCAAUGCCUAAGUUCAAAUCUUGAAUCAAGUGGUUAAUGAAGAAACUCCAGCUAUUUUGUCUUUUGAUCAACCACUGCUCAGGCUAUUGGAUACAUUUGAUUAUUUCCAUUUCUCCCAACUGCAACUAACAAUUCACCCUUGCAAGAACCUUUCAAAAAACAACCAUCUAACCCAAUAAUUUUUCUGCACCCUGCCAGCCAGCCUCUCUUUAAUGCAUCAAAGCACAAAUAAAAAUAAAUAAAUAGAUUUUUUCCAAGUUGAGACUCUCUAUCUAUCCUCACCCAACAAGAACUGUCAGGAUUAAUAUGUUUUAUCAUGUCUGCAUAGUCACACAACCUUGAAAAUUCCAUCUUCCAAUCACCCAAGAAUUCUUUAAUGAUUCUAUGCUUUGCCUUGCUACAAAUAGUUUUUUCCACAUACAAACCCAAUUUUUUUCUCACCAAUUCCUGAAUUUCCCACAGUUUUAUAUAAGGUUGUAAAGUUAUUUCAUCUUUGAACUUACUUACAAUAAAUUUAGAUGUGCACAAUUUAUUUUUAUAGUAGUAGUGCAUACAUGUACAGGAUAGUAGUGCUUGACAACAGAGUCACCAGAAUGCUUAUCAAUACUAGCAAACAACAACCAUUUACAUUUCUUGCCCUUACACCUAACUCUAACUCUAUGUUUCUCAUUAGGCUUAAGCUUCAAUCUAACUUUGUAUUCAACAGCAUACUCAACCACAACCUUUCUAAAUUGCUUAGCAUUUUCAAAUAUCAUACCAAGCUCAAAUAUAGCCACAACACAAUCAGAAUCAAAUCUUACUUUUUUUACUUUUCCUUUUUGCUGAUAAAUCAACACCCCUGACAGUUUCAGGUUCCAGUCCAUCAGCACUAUCAUCACUAUCAACUUCAAAGCUAUCUAUAUACUUAUCAUCUCCCCCUAAUCUUCUACUGUAUCUAGCAGUCUUAUUCCUUCCAAUAUCUUCAAAUCCCCUAUCAACACCUGCUGAUCCAAGUUUUAUUUUUUCAUUUUGGACAGAUUUCUUUUGUUUCACACAGUUUCUCCUUUCAUUUCUAAGAGUUCUUAACUCUUCAUCAUCCUCAGAAUCGUCAUCUUCUGGUAUAUUAAACUCUUGAGAAUCAACACUACUAUCAAGAUCUAUUUCAGCCCCUUCUAGAUCUGAGAGUUCAUCUGCACCAGAUUCUAUAUCUAUGUUGUCAGUUUGGGUAGGUUCCUCAUGUAACCCUUCAACAUUAAUAUCAUGAACUGUUGAUAUGUUCUUACCCACAUUACUAUUUUCACCAACCACAUUACUACUUUGAUCACCUACUGUACCACAAAGAAAACCAGAUGGGACCUCAUCUUCUACCACUUCUACCUCAUCCACAACAUGGUUCAUAUACAAGUCUAAAAAGUCCCCAUCUUCUAGGUCUUCAACAAGACUUACCAAAGUCAAGUCAUUUUCUACUUCAAUAAAGACUUUCUUUUUAGGGUCUUUAAAGUAGAACCCACCAACAGUCAUAUACCCAAAUUCUUUAGUAUAAUAAAACAACUUGAAUAUAGAAAAGUGGUCUUUGUUCGUACUUACAUAUUCCACCUCACUUUCUCCUAUGUAGUGUGGACCAUAUUCUUCAUCAGAAACAAACUUGCCACCAUGGUGAAAAUGAGUUGUAAUAAUAAUAUUAGCCAUUAGAUUCCUGAAACAAAAUUCCAAAAAUACCUGACAAGUUAUGAAUAGUAAAAACCCUAAAAAAAUCCUAGCUUUUUUCGGAUAUUCCCAAACUACAAUUACUAACGUAAUAUACUAACAAAGAACUAAUAAAUCAUUUACAACAACAAGACAUGACAAAAAUGUGACAAUAUUGACAUUUGCAACAUACCUGAGUGCGAUUCAAACACAAAACAAUAACAAUUUUUUAGAUCCAACUCCAGAUUCUUUGCAACCAAUAAAGAAAUGUUGAAAUCAGUGUCAAACUUGAACUAAUCACUCAAAAACACUAUGUAACUUUUUAUUAUACAACAAACGAAGCAUAAAUUAGUAGUAUUAGGAGUGAAAUCGCAAUUUUAGGGUUUCUGAUAGAUUUAGGGAUGUGUAUGAGGGAUUUGACGUUAUAAGGAGGGAAACGAAGUAGAAAUUAUCUUUAUGUAUUAAUUAAAAAAAAGGUGGGGUGUAAAAUAUAAUUGGUUAUAAUUGGUCAAAAUCUACACGUAGACGAUGACUACAUACACGCACUUAACACGUUAAAAAAGAAGGCUUUAAAAAGGUGUCAUGUCGGACAAUUGAGCUCAGUUGAAACCAUUUAUGAAGGGGUAAAGGGUUCAAUAGGUAUCCGUCUUAGUUGAGGUGUCUAUACGGAAAAAGUGAAAUAGUUAAGGAAUCUCUCUAUAUAUAUAGCCUUAAUAUUUUGACAAAUUAACCUUUUGGGUCCCACCUUUCGGAGAAUUCUUUCUUAUUUUUUCCUCUUCAUUUUCUUUUCUGUCUCAUUGUCAUUUAACUUUUUUUUCUUCAACAAAUAAUGUUUUGUGCUUUUGCUCUUUCUUUUUGGGUUAUUUUUUACUUAUGGUUUUCUUUAUUUUUCUUCAUUUACCCUAUUUCUUUCCAAUUUUUUUUAGUACUCUUGAUACAAGUAAAUUGAAGGUUUUUCUUUUUCCUUUAAUUUUUUAUUUGUCAAUAUUUAUAUGCAAAUUAAAUGAUACUUACUUUUUUAUUUAUUUUUUUAGUUUAUUUUAAAAAUAUUAUUUCUUUGAUUUUUAGAUAGUAAGGUAAUAUUGUUUCCAUUAGUUAGUGUCUAGUUAGAUUUUGUAAUUAUUUUAAUCCGAAAUAUAAUUUUUGAUAUAUAUUUAAUGAUGUGACAGUUCCUAAAUUUCCAAGAAAAGUUAUUUUAAAAAUUAAAAUCAAUAGUUAGAUUUAUUUAGGACCAACUCAUUCUAAAUUCAAUUCAAUUCUUGAAAGACCGCCUGGAAAUAAUUUUUCUAUAUAGAAAAUUAUCUUAAUGAUUAAAAAAAAAGAUGAUUGCUCUUCCAUUUUUAACAUGCUAAGUAUUAUACAUGUCCUAAUAACAUUGAACCAUGAUAAAUAAUAUUAUAUAAAUUCAAUUAUAAAAAACAGAUUUAUCACUUAUCAAAUUUAAUUUUAAAUUUUCGAUAUUCAAAUUUUUCAACACCAACAAAAAGAGAGUAUAAUAAAAAAUAGAAAUUAUUGUCAUGAUUGAAUGGCCAAAAUUUUAUUUUCUUUUUUUUAACAAAUAUGAACAAAUAAUAGUUGGGAUGAAAAAAAAGAUUCAUUCUACUUAGUACCGAAACAGGAGGAAGAAAAAUCAAUUUGUGAAAAAAGACAAAGAAAGAAUAAAAAACAGUAAACAAAAAAGUAACCAAAAAAAAAGAGCAAAUAAUGUUUUGCCCCAAAAAAGUUAAUGAUCGAAAAAGUAAAAUAAAUAAAUGAAUAUAGAAAAUGAUCUGAUAGUGGGACCCCAAAGUCCAUUUGUCAAAAAAUUAAAGACCUCAUAUUAAAAUUUUACAUAUACAAACUAAAAGCAUCUCGUCUCAUCUCCCACUUCUAGAAGGUUGUACUACUAAUUAGGCCUCCAGGAAACAGAGAAGUGUGGUACAAAAAUUAAUUCGUCUGUCUGCUCUCUUUCUAUCCCUAUAAAAUUCAAUUCUCUCAAUAAUUUCGCAUGUGAUUUGCCCCACUGUGUCUGUACAUAGUAUGUCCUCCUACUUUGCAUCCUUGGAUGAAUACUGGACCUUUAAAUUGAAUCCAGUUCCUUGCUUUCCAGAUGUAAUACACCAUAGUCCCCCAUAAUGCAGCUGCCGCUUCCUUCUUAAACUUCUUCCAAUGCUCUCUUCUAAUCAGCUCAAAUGUAGUCUUCACAUCUCCUGCGGACAGUGAAAUAUUGGAUUAUUAUAUGAGUUCAGCUCUUACCAGUGCAGCAUAUAUAGCCACAGUCAACAAAUAUGUGGCUACUACGCUCUCCAUUGUAGAUGAUUGAAAUAGGCGGCAGUUGACAUUUUCUAUGUACAUGUUCAUAUGUAGUAAUCUUUCCUUCGUAAGCAAUCUGUUCAGCAAGGUAACCACUAGUAAUUGAAUACUUUAGCAGUAAGGAUGAAUUGCCCCCAUGCAUCAGUGUUUCAUUCUAUCCCUUAUAAAAUUUAUUUUCCUCCAACACCAGCUACUUGUUAUUUUCGUUUGUACUUUGGGUACACAGAAUCAGUAUAUGCAGAACAAUAACUUCAACUAGAGUUCAAGUAUAAACAAGAACACAAUGAAGUAUAUCAAAUACUCUCUAACACAAGAUCGAAAUGACCUUUUCAAGAGGUGUAUUUUAUUUUUUCAGAAAUUAAGAUGAAACAGAAAAUAGCCAAGUCAUCCGAAUUCACGAAGUUUCUUUAAGGAAAUAAUUUCCCUCACUGUACCCGAGGUUAUAGAAUUUUUCCUCCUAGAAUAAAAUGGCUAAAUAGAUCAAUUGUAGCGGUACCUCAAACGGUUGGAAUAUCUUCGAACGCACAGGACGUUUUGAUUGAUCACAUAGAGUAAUUUGGAAGACAAGAAGUAAUUUUGUAUUCUGAAAUUUUCAUAUCAAAACCUGUGGAUGAAAGCAGGUUUAUAUAGCCAUAACAUGUCUCUUCUGAAAAUAGGCAAUGGUUCACUCCAAAGGUUACACCUUUGCUGUAAGUUCAUGUCUGUUCAUCAAAGAUUGCAUCUUUUCCUGAAUAGUCAUCUCAUUUCAUGAAUCAGUGUGUCACUUCAUUGAAGGAUUACAUCCUUCUGAAGCAUCAUUUCGAACCAUUGCAACUCAGUUUAAAACAAUAUAUCAUUUCUGAAGCACCAGUUCAAAAACAAUGCAUCAGUUCACUUGAAACAGUGCAACUGUUACUGCAUCUAUAUAUAAAUGGAGAUCCUAAACACUGCAGAAAAAUUUUACUGCGUUUUUCCUUGGCAUUCUUCGGAAUUCAAAUAAAGUUUGUCCAAAAAAAUAGAUCUCAUCGAUCAAUCAUUAUCCAAAUCCAAAGCCAAGCGAGCAACGAUGAAAAUGGCGCAAGACAUCUAUUAUUUCUUGCCUCACUUGCCAUGUGGAAUAAAUGUUCUUGAUUAUAAAUACUUUCAAGUACUCUUCUUCCACCAAUGUGGGAGAAAGAGUAAAUUAUCUAAUUUGGAAGUACACUUUUCAUUUUAGUGUCUCCUUCCCCUCCAUCAUUUUACUCUCCAUUUUUUCAUUCACACUUCUUUCAUAUACUAUGAACCCAACACUACUAUCUGCUGGCUUCUGUGUCCAGAUAGUGUCAGUUUUGAUACAUAUUUCGGGUGCCUACUUCAGCCCCAAAGACUCCUUCUUUACAACUACUUUCCACAAAACCUUGCCUACCGAUGCCAAGUUCCAAUUCUCACACAAUAUUCAAACCACCCUGCUUUUUGGAGACACUUUAUCCCAAGCUACUAGUGCUACCUUCCUUUUCCCUCUAUAAUACCCCACAAGUAAUCUCUAAAUGUCUUAUCUACCUCCUUCACUAUACUAGGGGGAAGGAGAAAAACUGCAUUUUAUUCAUCCAUCUGUCAAGACCGGUUUUACCCCAUACUACCAAAGCGGCCAGCAAAAUUUUGACCAUACUGCUUUGAGCAAAUCUUCCUGAGCAAAAUAAAUGGUCUGAAAUUUCCACUUUCUUAGAGUGGGGCAAGCAAUACAAGAAUCUUGAUUGGAAGAUUAUAUCAAAAUUUUGAGACCUUUUCAUCAGUUGGUACCCUGUCGUAUGAAGCUCCCCACCUUACAAAUGUCAUCUUGAAAAAUAUUAUUGUUUAUGCCACAUUUUUUGGGCACUUACUUGAUUGUUCUUUCUUCUAAAUUAGGAGCUCCCAUGCUGAGGCUAGUGAGAACCUGCCAUUGAUGUUAGCCAACCCUAGUACUCUAUCUGGAGCUGCAUGGAAUAAGGUAAUGUGGUGUUGUGCUACCAUGCCAUAUUGCCAAGUGACAUUGUCAAGUGCCUCCUUAAGAAGGGAUAUUUCCGGCUUUUGCUCCAUCAGGUAAAUGACUAUAGAGCAUUCCCGUUUUUGUUCAGUUGUCAUACCAGAAUGAUGUUUUUACCUUUCCAGGCAGGCAUGCUAUAUUUUCCUUAACUUCAUGCUUUAAGUCACAGAGGGCUCUCCAGCCGUGUGACUGUUGCCCUGAUAAUUUUCAUGGAUCGUACAUGUGAAAUAUUUGGUUUGGGUGGAAAUGAAUUGACUCUCAUCUAAGAGAAAACACACUGCUAGUUAAUUAUAUUAUGUCGCAGCAUUAAUGGAGACACUCUUUAGAUGCCCGGUCCCCUUGCCAGCCACUAGAACUUGGGAGGGCAAUUUCUGUUGAUCCUUGACAAGCCAAAACAAUUUCCAAAUUAAUCAUUUAAAAAAAAAAAACAUUACAGAGCCAAGAAGCCAUCAUCUAACACAAGAUCUAGCAACACUUAGUAUAGAAAAUUCACAAUCUUUCAUUGAUAUAAACAAUUGAAAGAGCAAUUACACGAGAACAUCAAAUUAGACAUUAGAGUCAAUGAGUUCUCCAUUCACUAACUCUCUGUAAGCAGCAACAGGCCAGAUGAAGCCUCUCCAGACGAGCCUGUUAGCCAAUGGAACAUCAAUGAUGAUCUCCUUCAUUGUUGGCUUCUUCUCAUCUCUUAUUGCAAUCAAGUAGCUCCUUCCUACCCACCCAAUCCAUCCAGCAAUGUACAAGAAGAGGAUCCCAGGAGUGAUGAACUCACCCCAGUGCCUCUGGUCUCCACUCACUAUCAGGUGUGGCAGUCCAUCCGAUCCGCACAACAGUCCUUGUUUCGCAUAGUUGUCAAAUCUGCAAUGUCAAUAGGUGAGUGACUUUGUAAGUGAAAUAAAACAUGGACUCGAGUAUCAAGGAGUUGGAAUCAAAUGGAAUGUUCUAUUUUUCUAUGUUUACUUAGUCUAUGUCAAUGACUUAUGCAAGGAAAAGUUGAAAAUCUGUUACAAAAUAACUUGCCAUUCUUUCAUAAGCAAAUUUACUUCGUGCGCUCCUAUAGGGAGAAGGUGUUGAAGGUGGCCUCGUUUUCACACUUUUGGUUGGAUAAACGGAAGCCAUCAUCUAACACAAGAUCUAGCAACACUUAGUAUAGAAAAUUCACAAUCUUUCAUUGAUAUAAACAAUUGAAAGAGCAAUUACACGAGAACAUCAAAUUAGACAUUAGAGUCAAUGAGUUCUCCAUUCACUAACUCUCUGUAAGCAGCAACAGGCCAGAUGAAGCCUCUCCAGACGAGCCUGUUAGCCAAUGGAACAUCAAUGAUGAUCUCCUUCAUUGUUGGCUUCUUCUCAUCUCUUAUUGCAAUCAAGUAGCUCCUUCCUACCCACCCAAUCCAUCCAGCAAUGUACAAGAAGAGGAUCCCAGGAGUGAUGAACUCACCCCAGUGCCUCUGGUCUCCACUCACUAUCAGGUGUGGCAGUCCAUCCGAUCCGCACAACAGUCCUUGUUUCGCAUAGUUGUCAAAUCUGCAAUGUCAAUAGGUGAGUGACUUUGUAAGUGAAAUAAAACAUGGACUCGAGUAUCAAGGAGUUGGAAUCAAAUGGAAUGUUCUAUUUUUCUAUGUUUACUUAGUCUAUGUCAAUGACUUAUGCAAGGAAAAGUUGAAAAUCUGUUACAAAAUAACUUGCCAUUCUUUCAUAAGCAAAUUUACUUCGUGCGCUCCUAUAGGGAGAAGGUGUUGAAGGUGGCCUCGUUUUCACACUUUUGGUUGGAUAAACGGAGGACUAAACGAGUUUUUAUGAGCAUUAUCGGGUUCUAGAAUAUAUAUCAAAAAGGAAUUCUACAUUUUUAUAUUUCGGAGCUUUUUAAUUUUAAGCUUCUUAUCUUACUCGUAUGCUAUCAUAACUAUAAAAAUGUAAUGUCUGAGAUCACAAUUCUAAGAAUACUGAUAAGUGAGACUUGAGCACCUCCACCAAACCGGUAAGUGGGAUCACUGUUAUUCUCACCAAAAGAAGAAUCUAAGAAUACUAGUCUUUAAAGAAGAAAAAUUUGUACACAAUCAAAUACAUCCACAUAAAGUGUAAGAAUAUGAUUAAAUAGAAAAUGAUUACUAAGGACAAAGCAAGGAAAAUUUAGCAUAUAAGAAAGAAGGGAACUUUCAAGAUUCUUGCAAAAUUUAAAAGAAAAGGUAACAAAGACAAACCUGCGCUUAGUUUUCUCAAUAGUGGCAUUAAUAGCAAGUGCAGGAGCACUAUCAGGUGCAUACAGUUUCAAAGAAUUCUCAAGCUUCUUGAUCUGUUGCUUCUCCCUCUUAGCAAACUGCUUUGACUCCUUGCAAGGUGUGAGCCCAGAGAUGUCAGCAGAAGCUGGAAGCACUGGUGCUGACAAAAGAAUUGAAGACAAAGCAAGUGCUGCUGAGAAUGCUUUUAAUGAGGAAGAACUCUCAUCUGUCUUAGUAGAAGCAGGGGUCUGGUUUGAAGAGCAUACUAUGGUUGAAGUU
rnacentral:lncRNA from 1 species